AGCGUUGUUCGGAAUUACUGGGCGUAAAGCGCGUGUAGGCGGUUGCCCAAGUCGGGUGUGAAAGCCUUGAGCUCAACUCAAGAAAUGCACUCGGUACUGGGUGACUAGAGGACCGGAGAGGAUAGUGGAAUUCCCAGUGUAGUGGUGAAAUACGUAGAGAUUGGGAAGAACACCAGUGGCGAAGGCGGCUAUCUGGACGGUUUCUGACGCUAAGACGCGAAAGCGUGGGGAGCAAACAGG
rnacentral:rRNA from 1 species